UACGGGGGGGGCAAGCGUUGUUCGGAAUUACUGGGCGUAAAGCGUGCGCAGGCGGUUAUGCAAGACAGAUGUGAAAUCCCCGGGCUCAACCUGGGAACUGCAUUUGUGACUGCACGGCUGGAGUGCGGCAGAGGGGGAUGGAAUUCCGCGUGUAGCAGUGAAAUGCGUAGAUAUGCGGAGGAACACCGAUGGCGAAGGCAAUCCCCUGGGCCUGCACUGACGCUCAUGCACGAAAGCGUGGGGAGCAAACAGG
rnacentral:rRNA from 1 species